UUGGGAGGGGGAGAGUAAGCUGACUACGCUGGCUACUCAGGAGAGGGAUGGAGUGAGGUGGCCAGAGUCAGUCUGCUACAGCAGCACUACAUCCUCCAUCAUUGUGGGACAGUACCAGGACGACAACAUCCUGGUGUUCAGAGUGGAAUAGUGUGUACAUUCGCUGCCGAGUCAGGACAAGGAUGCUGAGGAUGUGGUGGACAAGGAUGACCUGAAUACACAGAAGCAAUUGCUGAGCACAGAAGAAGACUGUUUAAUGAAAGGCUCAGCUGUAUCAAAGUCCAGCAAUGUGCGGGGACGCGGCCUAUCCACAUCUGUAUAUUACAUCAUUUUAGCUGUCACUAACAAGGGAGAUAACUGUAGAUCUGCACCAGCACAACUGCUAUGCACAGAAGACAAAGGAGUAGUGAAAGACUCAGCCAAAUCAAAGUCCAGCGUUGUGAGGGUGACGCAGCCUUUCCAUGUCCUCGUAUUGCAACAUGAGGGACAUUUUAGCUGAAACUAACAAGGGAGAGAACUUUAGAUCUGCACCAGCAAUUAGCCUGUGCAGUCCACACAGGCUAUUCAUGGACAACACUUUCCUCUUAAAGCAGAGCACCAGCAUUGAUAUCAAGUUGGCCCAGCAACCGCACGUGUCCCACCUGCAGGAGCCCCAGUCCAGAACGACCCUUCCCCUCACCUGACUUCUAACUCUUCCCCCUUGACCUCCUGAAAAAGUCAGCAUCGUUGAACAACUCCGUUCUGCAGGAAAUUCUGAGCAUAAUUCUGUUCUGAACAAACGCAAUGCCCAAGUCAAGUUGUCCACAUAUAAGCCUGGGUAGUUUUGUUAAGCUAGAGUUCCGCGUGGGCCUGAGAGGGAUGAGUUUUACAGACACGAAAAGUUAUAGCAGUAGUUAUGGUAACGCUAACAGUCAGUUGUUGCUGUUGGACAUCACAACAAAUUUCAUGAAGAAUAAAAAGUUUAAUAACUUGUUCCAAUCUUUAUGGGACAAACAGAAAUUGAACGGGAGAAAAUUAAGGAACAAUAAAAGCGUAAGCUUUCCUAGAAUGAUACUUCUGCUGUUAAUAGUUUGGAUUACAGUAGGGUUAUGGACUGCCCCAGAUUGUCCUCUCAGCGGCCAAAAUAUCAUAAUAGAAUGGACUUUUGGAAAUGUUACUGACAAAGAAAGGCAGUAAUGACUUGGUUGUGAAUACCCAGAGCACUAUACAUCCAUGCUGACACAGAAAGGCAGUAAUGACUUGGUUGUGAAAACCCAGAGCACGCUACAUCCAUGCUGACAAAGAAAGGCAGUAAUGACUUGGUUGUGAACACCUCGAGCACGAUACAUCCAUGCUGACAAAGAAAGGCAGUAAUGACUUGGUUGUGAACACCUAGAGCACGAUACAUCCAUGCUGACACAGAAAGGCAGUAAUGACUUGGUUGUGAACACCCAGAGCACGAUACAUCCAUGCUGACAAAGAAAGACGGUAAUGACUUGGUUGUGAACACCCAGAGCACGAUACAUCCAUGCUGACACAGAAAGGAAGUAAUGACUUGGUUGUGAACACCCAGAGCACUAUACAUCCAUGCUGACACAGAAAGGAAGUAAUGACUUGGUUGUGAACACCCAGAGUACGCUACAUCCAUGCUGACAAAGAAAGGCAGUAAUGACUUGGUUGUGAAUACCCAGAGCACGAUACAUCCAUGCUGACAUAGAAAGGCAGUAAUGACUUUGUUGAUAACACCCAGAGCACGAUACAUCCAUGCUGACAUAGAAAGGCAGUAAUGACUUUGUUGAUAACACCCAGAGCACGAUACAUCCAUGCUGACAUAGAAAGGCAGUAAUGACUUUGUUGAUAACACCCAGAGCACAAUACAUCCAUGCUGACAUAGAAAGGCAGUAAUGACUUUGUUGAUAACACCCAGAGCACGAUACAUCCAUGCUGACAUAGAAAGGCAGUAAUGACUUGGUUGUAAACACCCAGAGCACGAUACAUCCAUGCUGACAUAGAAAAGCAGUAAUGACUUGGUUGUGAACACCCAGAGCACAAUACAUCCAUGCUGACAUAGAAAAGCAGUAAUGACUUGGUUGUGAACACCCAGAGCACAAUACAUCCAUUGGGUGUGCAUCAGACGCGAAUUCUGCCUAUUAUUGUAAACAAGUUGUUAAAAGUGAACAUGUCUGGUUUUGUUAUGAGCACUUCCCACUCACAGCCCAAAGGUCCUCUCAUUGAAUCGAUGCAAAAGAAGACUUUGAAAAAUGACAGCAGUUGUGUUGUGUGGUCCAGUAAUCCUUUCAACUCUCAACCUGAAGUUUAUCAAAACUCAAACUCAGCCCUUUGCAAUAUUACACUUGCAACACAGUGUACUUUACAAUGAAUGUUUCGCAGUUUUAAACACCAAAAUUUCAAUUUAAAGUUUGUGCACGUAACAUAUUGAUACAUUGCUAUUCUGAGUUCUAAUUGCGAUAUCCUCAAUAUCAAUAAUAUAUGAAAUGUUUGGCAUUCAAAAAAGAGGUGUGUAAAGUAAUUUGUUACAGUGCAUAUUCAUUUGUCACUAAAAAGAUCAGAGUUUAGUUUGCUUGUCAUUUCCUUUUAAGCAAACAUUAUUAGACAACAAAACAAACGUUUUUUAAGUGAAAGUGCAAGACAAUUCCGACCCAGUUUGGGCACAAAUACAACAACUAAUUAAAGAAAUUCAGUUUGUCUUGCGUCAGCCUACAUGUAGGAAGCCUCUUAUAAACAUCUCCCAAGAAGGCUACAUCAACGCUUCCAACAACCGAGCUGGGCAUCGACACAUUGUUCCGAACGAGUCGCUCGAACUGAAACGAUCUGAUUCAACAGAGAGCAGGCGUUGCGUGACUCGUUUGUUAAUGUGACUGACCUCGAUAUGUUGCUUUCCAAAAAUGUGAGCCUUACUACAGAUGAGCUGUCUGCGAUUGACGCAAUUCAACAACAGUUCCGGGUUUGGGAUGGCGAAUUGGCGUCAGGGCUUCAUCUCUGUCGUUGGCCUGGUCGCAGCAGAAGCAGCAACAAGAACAGCAAUAAGUUUAAGAGACGUGAUCUGGGAUAUGGGGCUUCAUGAAUGUGCUUUAAGUGUCAUCCCAUAUUAGCCUGUGCAGAAUGCACAUACAUUGAGUCCUAUAUAAGUGUCAUCUCCGAUUAGCCUGUGCAGACUGCACAUACAUUCAGUCCUAUUAAAGUGUCAUCCCAUAUUAGCCUGUGCAGACUUCACAUACAUUAAGUCCUAUUAAAGUGUCAUCCCAGAUUAGCCUGUGCAGACUGCACAUACAUUGAUUCCCAUUAAAGUGUCAUCCCAAAUUAGCCUGUGCAGACUGCACAUACAUUAAGUCCUAUUAAAGUGUCAUCCCAGAUUAGCCUGUGCAGACUGCACAUACAUUAAGCCCUAUUUUCCCAGAAUGAGGCUCAUAUAGCUCACUUAACAUCAGUAUUUUUUCUGCCUGAUUGAGAAAAAGGUCCAAGCAUCAAAUGGUAAGUAUGUUUUUUUUUAAAUUAAUCCACUUGGUACAUAAAUAGCAAAUAGCAAUUGAUCUAAUAUCAGGUUUAAUCAUAGAAGGUCAAUGCAUAGUUUUGUCUACAUUUCGGCCGAAAUUCAGCCCUUGAACGAAGCGUUUAUCCUUGCAUAUAAAAUCCGCUGUAAUAGACUUGUUAAAUUGUAUUUAUUUUCGCAAAACAAUUAUUUAAACGACUUCAGCACAUUAUACAAUUAUUCCCUCCAAUAUUUAUUUAAGUUCCUGAAUUUUGUUUUAAGAGCUGGUCCCUACAGGAUCCCAUGCAGUCAUAGAUCGGUACCCAGCUGAACAACAGGCUGUCUGGUAAGCUGGGCCCGGAUAGGUGCAGCCAGUCUAAAGCUGGGGCUCCAAACUUUCCUGCCAAGUGGGCUGAUAUUACCUCUUCUACAAGGGACAUAUGUCAGUGAUGCGCAAAGAGCUGGUUCUCUGUUCACAGAGAAAAAUCCUAACAACUCCAACUCAGCCACUACAUCCCAAUAGACAACCCGAAUAUCAAGGCGUUAAGUUUGUUCUGGAUGCAGUUACAAUCACAGCUUUCAAGCCAGCAGCUGUCGAUGUAUUGAGAGUCUCACCUCUCCAUGUUAUCUGACCUGCUGCCUGUGAACAUCCUGCACAUAGAACCUAUAUCCCAUUCGAUGUAAUUAAACCGGCCAAUCAAAAAGACAGCCUGAAAUAUUCCUCAUCUUGAAAUAUUGGGAAGGCAAGAAAACGCCUGUCACUGUUAAGAUAAAAUUGAGGGAAUGACAAAGCACAGUAAGACCAGUUAAGUCCUGUGAUAAGCCAAGUCCUGUGGCCAGACAUGUCAUGUGGCCAGCCCAGUCCUGUGAUCAGACAAGUCUUGUGAUCAGACAAGUCAUGUGAUCAGACAAGUCCUGUGAUAAGCCAAGUCCUGUGAUCAGACAAGUCUUGUGAUCAGCCAAGUCCUGUGAUCAGACAAGUCAUGUGAUAAGCCAAGUCCUGUGAUCAGACACGUCUUGUGGCCAGCCCAGUCCUGUGAUCAGACACGUCUUGUGAUCAGCCCACUCCUGUGAUCAGCCCAGUCCUGUGAUCAGACAAGUCCUGUGAUCAGACACGUCUUGUGAUCAGCCAAGUCUUAGGAUCAGCUUAGUUCUGUGGCCAGCCAAGUCAUGUGACCAGCCAAGUGUUUUUACCAGCCAUGUCCUAUAACCAGCAACUUUGUCUCGUGUGUACAGUCCAAUUGUAUGGGAAGAAAAAUCUUUAUUUCAUAUUGUAUGGUUAUAAUGAUACUGACAGUAUCUUGAUGAUUAAGUAUUUUGUUAUAUAUUGGUAAAUAGACCAAUAUGAUAAGGGGAAACUUAGUAAUAGCAGUAAUGUAAAGUAUUAUUUCAAGAGGAAAAUAAUGCAAGUACUACUAUUUUGUCUGUAUUCAGAAACUGACUAUAUAGCUUUAUCCUGAUUAUCGUAAACUGACAGACAAAAUGAUUGUACAAUUAUUUUUUAAACAUUGAUUUUAAGACUUCACAAAGUUGUUUAAAUAAUGCUGAUACCUUCGACAAUAUUUAAUGUAUUUAUUGUAUAAACAAGACAUGCUUAUUUUAAGUUUUUACCUAUAAAAUAGCAAUAUGUGCUAGGUAAAAUAAUUGAUCAGAACGGUUCAUAAUUGUGAUGCUUCUAUUUUGAUAUGUCUGUCAUUCUGUCUGUGUUCAUUUAUCAUCAGUUUGCUUUUUUGAUGCAGUAUUUUAUCAAGAAUUUCAUGUUGUGAUGUAAUAGUAAAAUAUCAAAUAGUUAUUUCAUUUAUUCAAACUAAAUUAACCUUCGAUUAAUUAUUAAUUUAUUUAUUGACAACAGAUACUUUGUUUAAUAUUAACAAUAGUUAAGCGCGUUAUAAAAAUUGUGUGAAUGUACAUGCAUAUUGCGAUAAUUAAUGCACACAUUAAUGGAAAACCUAUUUAAAGAAAGUGGAAUUUAGAAGUGCAUCUUAAUUGUAAUAGAGUUUGUUUAAUUAUUAAAAAAAGGAUGCUUUCUUUGUUGAAAAGCAAUUCCUCCACAAGUAAGUUUGUUUCAAAGUGAGUAUUUUUAUGAAUAAUGAUCCUAGAUAUGGUUGUAGAUUGUUCUUGUUGUAUCAUAUUCUGACAGGCUCAUCAUUUAUGUUGACAUUUGCAUUCUAGCAUUAAAAGUUCAUUAUGCUUUAAAUAUUUGUAUGUACACAUUUGCGACCAGCUUUUCUAAUGUAAUAAGUGAAUAACGUAACACAGAUUUAUGUGUCACUGUAUAUAAGUUUAUUUUGUCAUUUGUAAAUAGAUCAACUGCAAAGAUAAUGUUUUUGUCUGUACAUUAUUCAUGAAAUGUUGCCAUUUCAAACAGAUACAUUCACUGUUUGAAUUCAUUUGUACAAAAUUGUUUCAUAUUAAACAUCAUUAACAUAUCAGGCAAUAGAACAAAAGAAUUGCUUCGGAUAAUUGUGCAAAUUAACUUGUAUAGUUAAUUCAGACAUGCAGAAUAUCAGAUCAUUAACAUACUUUAAGCAUUAAAAACACCUUGUUUUAUGUCAAGCUUUUCAGUUAUUAUAAUAAGCAACUAUUAUCUGGAAAUUUGGAAAACAGUGAAGAACGAUUCAAGGGACAGCAACUGUGAUAUACUAAAUAAAAGUCGUCUCCCUUGUUAGAGUAUAAUUGUACCUCUCAACGUAACAAGAACAUUGAAUCUUUUUUUUUAAUUAUUCCACACUAUAAACUUUAUAUUAUAUUCAUUCAAUAAUCAUUAAAGAAAUAUGGUUUGCAUAAUUAUUUAUUUCUAUGCGUUAUACCAAAUUCACCAGUAUGGCAUCAAUUUAAGUUCAUCAUAUUUUAAUUGCCAAAAUUGGCCAUACAGUGCUAAAAGUUUGGUAUUCUGAAUAUUAUAAGUGCAUGUUCUUAUACAAAAUCACAUUGUAUAUUUUAACACUGAAGCAAUAUGUGUUAAUAUAUUAAUUUUUAUUUAUUGACUUGUUGCUUGUCAAGGUGUCUAAUUUUGAACUAUAGCUGUUAAUUGAUUGUGACUAUUUUCCAGUUUUGAAUGGUUGCUUUUAGGUUCUUGUUUACAAGUUAUGUAAAAGCUGUUUUCAUGUUGACCUCUCCAUAUUAAAUGUCGUUGACGCGCAUUCACUGCCGCCAGGUUCCGUAAAACUCCCAACAAAUCUAUGAUUGGAUUCCAUACACACAUGGUUGUUUAUACUCAGCUUGCUUUGCAUUAAACAUGUCUGCUUUGUUGUUGAACAAUUAUACACAGCUUUUUAUUGGACAAAAUUGUGUAAUAUUUCAAAUUUUUGCUUUCGAUUUUUUAUUUCCAACAAAAAUAUAUUUUGUUUAUUUGUAUGUAUACUUAGCUAUAAUAAAAUUGUUUCUAUAAUAUAUAAACAACCUAUUUAUAAGCAAUAAACUAUAUUGUUAAAAGUAGAUUUAAGGUUCAAAAUCAUGUCUUAAUUUGUUCGAUUAUCCCAAAUUAAAAUUUUGCAAAAGAUAAACUUGU